AUAUCGAUGGCGUGGAUCAAUAGCCUCAAUCCAGUGUUGAAAAGCUAACGUCUGAGCUUCAGCAUCUUUGGAUAAACCUUUACCAACCUUAGAAGCAUUCAAGCCGACGCGAUUCCACCGUGAAACCGCCGUCUCCGGCUUCGAGUAAUCGAAGAAUGAAAUUGUACUAUGAUUCAACCGAGCAUAAUCUAUUGCUUGCCACCAAAGCUCUUCAGCUACCACAGCAGAGUCAGCUAACAUACGCCGUGUACGAUAACUCCGAUAAACUUUCUGCAAUCUCUUCGCGGCAUUCGACGGCGUCUUUUCAACGGACUCAGUAAAAUCACGUUCCUGGCCUACAUUUUCAGAUACAGAAGGAGACGCCGGAAACGAAACCAUACCGUUUUCACACUCUACACCGGCAGAAACCGGCGAACCGAAUCCUUCGAGUUCCGGCAUGUCGUCGGAGCUCCGAAAAUCGGGAAUACGGAGCUCCGUCAGUUUACAACCCGACAUGUCGAUGAGUUUUCGAUACGGAGGAAGAGAACUAACCUGAG
rnacentral:misc_RNA from 1 species